rnacentral:rRNA from 1 species
CCCUUAGUUGUUCUGGGCUGCACACGUGCUACACUGGCAGGUUCAGCGAGCUUCAUGCCCUGAUCUGAAAGGAAUGGGAAAUCUUUUCAAAACCUGCCGUGCUUGGGAUAGAUGUUUGCAAUUAUUCAUCUUCAACGAGGAUUGCCUUGUAAGCGCACGUCAUCAGCGUGCAUUGAAUACGACCCUGUAUUCUGUACACACCGCCCGUCGCUCCUACCGAUUGAAGUUUUCGGUGAGUUGACAGGAGGAUUUUUUUGAAACUGGUUCGCCAGUGGAUUUUAGAUCCAAAUGCCAACGAAUCGAUGGCUUUAGAGGAAGGAGAAGUCGUAACA